GGAUAAUCUACCCUACGGUGGGGGAUAACCCCGGGAAACUGGGGAUAAUACCCCAUAGACUAUGGAUGCUGGAAUGCUCUGUAGCCGAAAGGUCCGCCGCCAUAGGAUGAGUCUGCGGCCGAUUAGGUUGUUGUUGGGGUAACGGCCCAACAAGCCUGUAAUCGGUACGGGUUGUGGGAGCAAGAGCCCGGAGAUGGAUUCUGAGACACGAAUCCAGGCCCUACGGGGCGCAGCAGGCGCGAAAACUUUGCAAUGCGAGAAACCGUGACAAGGGAACUCCGAGUGCCCGUAAAUUCGGGCUGUCCAUCUGUGUAAAAAACAGGUGAAGAAAGGGCCGGGCAAGACCGGUGCCAGCCGCCGCGGUAAUACCGGCGGCUCGAGUGGUGGCCACUAUUACUGGGCUUAAAGCGUCCGUAGCUGGUCUGUUAAGUCUCUGGGGAAAUCUUCCGGCUUAACCGGAAGGCGUCCCAGGGAUACUGGCAGACUAGGGACCGGGAGAGGUGAGAGGUGCUCCAGGGGUAGGAGUGAAAUCCUGUAAUCCUUGGGGGACCACCUGUGGCGAAGGCGUCUCACCAGAACGGCUCCGACAGUGAGGGACGAAAGCUGGGGGAGCAAACCGGAUUAGAUACCCGGGUAGUCCCAGCCGUAAACGAUGCGCGUUAGGUGUAUC
rnacentral:rRNA from 1 species